rnacentral:rRNA from 1 species
GCUCAACCAUCGCAGUGCCCUUGAUACUGAUGAGCUUGAAUACACUAGAGGUAGGCGGAAUGUGACAAGUAGCGGUGAAAUGCAUAGAUAUGUCACAGAACACCGAUUGCGAAGGCAGCUUACUAUGGUGUCAUUGACGCUGAGGCACGAAAGCGUGGGGAUCAAACAGGAUUAGAUACCCUGGUAGUCCACGCCCUAAACGAUGAAUACUCGCUGUUAGCGAUACACAGUUAGCGGCUAAGCGAAAGCAUUAAGUAUUCCACCUGGGGAGUACGCCCGCAAGGGUGAAACUCAAAGGAAUUGACGGGGGCCCGCACAAGCGGAGGAGCAUGUGGUUUAAUUCGAUGAUACGCGAGGAACCUUACCCGGGCUUGAAAGUUAGUGAAUGAUCUAGAGAUAGAUCAGUGAGCAAUCACACGAAACUAGGUGCUGCAUGGCUGUCGUCAGCUCGUGCCGUGAGGUGUUGGGUUAAGUCCCGCAACGAGCGCAACCCCUAUGUUUAGUUGCCAGCACGUUAAGGUGGGGACUCUAAACAGACUGCCUGUGCAAACAGAGAGGAAGGAGGGGACGACGUCAAGUCAUCAUGGCCCUUACGUCCGGGGCUACACACGUGCUACAAUGGAUGGUACAGAGGGCAGCAAGCUGGCAACAGCAAGCAAAUCUCAAAAAGCCAUUCACAGUUCGGAUAGAGGUCUGCAACUCGACCUCUUGAAGUUGGAUUCGCUAGUAAUCGCGUAUCAACAAUGACGCGGUGAAUACGUUCCCGGGCCUUGUACACACCGCCCGUCAAGCCAUGGAAGUUGGGGGUACCUAAAGUAUGAACCGCAAGGAGCGUCCUAGGUAACCGAUGGCCUUU